AGUGAACGCUGGCGGUAGGCCUAACACAUGCAAGUCGAACGGCAGCACAGUAAGAGCUUGCUCUUACGGGUGGCGAGUGGCGGACGGGUGAGGAAUACAUCGGAAUCUACUUUUUCGUGGGGGAUAACGUAGGGAAACUUACGCUAAUACCGCAUACGCCCUACGGGUGAAAGCAGGGGAUCUUCGGACCUUGCGCGAUUGAAUGAGCCGAUGUCGGAUUAGCUAGUUGGCGGGGUAAAGGCCCACCAAGGCGACGAUCCGUAGCUGGUCUGAGAGGAUGAUCAGCCACACUGGAACUGAGACACGGACCAGACUCCUACGGGAGGCAGCAGUGGGGAAUAUUGGACAAUGGGCGAAAGCCUGAUCCAGCCAUACCGCGUGGGUGAAGAAGGCCUUCGGGUUGUAAAGCCCUUUUGUUGGGAAAGAAAAGAAGCAGGUUAAUACCCCGCUGUUCUGACGGUACCCAAAGAAUAAGCACCGGCUAACUUCGUG
rnacentral:rRNA from 1 species